UACGAGGGGGGCAAAUGUUGUUCGGAAUCACUGGGCGUAAAGGGAGCGUAGGCUGGUUCUUAAGUUAGGUGUUUAAUCCCGGGGCCCAACCCCGGACCGGCACUUAAAACUGGGAAUCUUGAAUAGAGGAGAGGUCAGUGGAAUUGGAGGUGUAGCGGUGGAAUGCGUAGAGAUCUCCAAGAACACCAGUUGCGAAGGCGGCUGACUGGACUCAUAUUGACGCUGAGGCUCGAAAGCAUGGGGAGCAAACAGG
rnacentral:rRNA from 1 species